rnacentral:rRNA from 1 species
CAGUCGCCACGGGAAUACGUAGGGUGCGAGCGCUAAUCGGAAUUACUGGGCGUAAAGCGUGCGCAGGCGGUUGUGUAAGACAGGUGUGAAAUCCCCGGGCUUAACCUGGGAACUGCGCUUGUGACUGCACAGCUAGAGUAUGGCAGAGGGGGGUGGAAUUCCACGUGUAGCAGUGAAAUGCGUAGAGAUGUGGAGGAACACCGAUGGCGAAGGCAGCCCCCUGGGCCAAUACUGACGCUCAUGCACGAAAGCGUGGGGAGCAAACAGGAUUAGAUACCCCUGUAGUCCCUGUCUCUUAUAC